AUACGGAGGGUGCGAGCGUUACUCGGAGUCACUGGGCGUAAAGCGUCCGUAGGCGGUCGGGUAAGUCGGGUGUGAAAGCCCCGGGCUCAACCUGGGAAGUGCACCCGAUACUGCUCGACUCGAGUGCGGGAGAGGAGGGCGGAAUUCCCGGUGUAGCGGUGAAAUGCGUAGAGAUCGGGAGGAACACCAGUGGCGAAGGCGGCCAUCUGGCCCGCAACUGACGCUGAGGGACGAAAGCGUGGGGAGCAAACAGGAUUAGAAACCCUAGUAGUCC
rnacentral:rRNA from 1 species